rnacentral:misc_RNA from 1 species
AACGAAAUUGUGUCUCCGAGCGCCUGAGUGUGUGUGUGUGCGCGCCUGCGUGCACCAGUAUCUCUCUGCUCAUAUACUGGAAGAGGAGGCACCCAAUUCUCCUAGUGACAGCAGUCGGAGCACAACAACGGAUGCAACUCACCGCAUCACUGACGACACACAUACACAUACACACUCUCUCUGUGCGCUCUCCCCUUCAUGUCGCACUCCGAUAUGAACCCGCUCGAGAGGGCUGAUGUGUUUCACCUGUUUGACGCCGCCUCUCCGGAGGCCUCCGCAUCUGUCGCGGUGGACGGCGGAAGCGAUGCGGGCGCCGCACCCAUCACAGAGAUACAGUACACCGCGCUCCUGUACAUGAUGGCAGCGCAGCUGGGCAUCUCACACGCCGAGGCAGAACGCUUGUUUCCAUCCUACAAGCACGUGCCGCUGACUGUGCAGGCAUCGGCCGCCUCUGUCGACACCAAGUCAUCACAGCUCCCUCCCCUCUGCGCCCACCUCUUGCGGGAAGGCGCCGCGGCGUAUUACUGGGCUAAACCUGACGCCCACACCAUCCCCGAUGUACGAUGCUGCGAUGCCCGGGAGGUGCACAAGCAGGAAGUGUUUCCGGCGCCCGGUCACGGUCCACAUGUGCACUGUCUUCGCUGCUUCCAGCAGAGCAUUGAAAGGGCGCCGCCGCCUGGGCCAGGGGUGUCACCACCAGUCGUCGUUGACUACCGAGACGCCGGAAGCCUGCGGGCGCACCUUGAGGAGCAUCGGACGCGCUACGCGACGUGCCUGCGCAUCCUGGAAGACAGCAGCAGCAGCGACUGUGGCGCAGCGCAUGAUAUGCUCUCUGAAGACCUUGCAGUAUGCGAGGUGGCGGCCGAAGAGGCAAGCCGCCAUGUUUGCUUCAUGGCUUCACUGGGAACGGUGGCUUGCCCUUUGGUCGUCUUCUACUGCGCCGAGUGCGACUCCUUUGCCCCGCUGGUGCGCUUUCACGGGGUGAGCGACGCAGUGAUGAGCGGUGCAGGCCCGAAUGUGGCUGAUGCCUGGGAGGCCACGGAAGGCGCCAACAUGGUGCUGAGUCGGCUCCUGCUGAGCUGCCAUGUGCUGUACAUGUUCGAUGCAAAGCGCUUCAGCCGGCAGCGACGCAGCGCUCGACGUGGGGGUCGGAACUUGGCCACCAAUGCAACACGCAGCACACAGCACCUCCUCUACAUGUUCAAACCCCUUCUUUUCUCCAUGGAGACGGAGGAGCGUUUGAUAGACGAGUUCGAGUCCGGCGCAGAAUGCACGUAUGUCGCGGUGGUACUUCCGAAUGCAAGCGUGGCUGGUGAUCCCCCUCAGCUGCUCCUGCGAGAAGACACGGAAGGGGAGGGGUCAGACGCAGCGCCGGCGCAACCGCGCUUCUCUCCGGUGGUGAUUGGGUUCGCAAUGGAAUGGGCGACAGCCGAGCUUCUGGAGAAAAAGGUCGCAAUGGUGCUCGAGCACUCCAGCAGAGCAUCGGCUGUUGGCUCACAGAAAGGCGGAGAGCCGUCCUCCUGCUCGUCCGACCCAUCAUCGCCUACGCCGCCGGCCUUUCGCGUUACGGCGCGGAUGGUGUACAUUGUGGAUACGGGGGAGUGGGCGGUGGCGCACGUCCUCUACCACCGCCUCCUGCCGGCUAACACUGAUCUGCCGCUGAGCUACGUAGACAAAGCGGAUGACGGGAUUCGCGUGCAGGAUGUGUACGAGGUGGGUGUGCCGAUGCCGGCGUGGGCCGAUGGCUCCAUUAGCGAGAGCGAGCCGAGCGCGGCCGUUGAAUCGAGCGGCGAAGGCGAAGAGGAGGCGGAGGAGGGCAGCGACGACGCGGUGGAGACGGAGGCGCUUGCCAUUGAUGGAUGUCCCUACUCCAUGGAGUCGCGCACCAUCGACUUCUUCACGCGCAUGACAGUGCUGGCCAAGGCGAUGCACGAGCUGGGUACGUGGCGGCUUACGAUUGACGAGAACAAGAAUCUAUCGCUGCUUUAAAGCCUGAAGAGAGACGGCAUCCACAGCACUCCGUAGAUGGAGGCGCGAGUCGUUGGCAGCGGCGUUGGUGAUCAAGGCGACCUACGUUUUUUUCUUUCGCUUUUGGAUUCACGGGGUAUGCGCGACGUGGACAGCGGAUGCACGUCAAUCCCUACGCCGCCUAGCCUUUCCUGCCCUGCCCCCCGCCCCCCCUCCUAACUCAAUCUCUUCCCUUCCGCGCUGGCAAACGAACGAUAGUCGUCACGAUACCCACGCCGCAAGCGCGGUGUGGCGUCGCACGCGGUGUCAUCCACGUCAGUGCUUGCACGUCACGUCACAGCUCGGGGCGAAAGGGGGGAGAGGGCUACACUGAUGUGCAUCGGUGCUCAGGACUGCACCUGCACGCGGGGCACCUCUUUCCUGCAGGCCAUCACACCCAUCAUCGCACCACCCCUCUCUCUCUGUGUCGGUUUGUUCGACAUUGCCUCUCAUGUUGCGCUCGGCUCCUCGUCUCCACGGCAG